CCGGGAUUUGAGCGGAAGGCGGGGCCAGAGUGGGAAGAGGCGGGAACUCGGAGGGGGUCGCGUGCAGUGCGCGGAAGAUCACGCCGAGUUCACACGUGCACCUAGCACUGGACAAGAGAGCAACCCGGUGACCCAGUGCGUUAUGAGGAAAGAAUCGGCACCACGUACCAGUCCGGAUUUAUUGAAAAUGCAGCACUAAUUAAAAACUCACCCAGCCUCUUGACAAGGUUUGGGUAAAGAAAAAAAAAAAGUUCAGUUAUUUAAUUAUUUCCUCCAUUUCAUGUUUUGUUGUUGUAACCACAACAAGCAAAGAAGCCCUCAUUGCUCCUCGUUCCUCAAAAUAAAAUUUUUCUCUCCUCAUGAGGGACUUAAUGAGGCUUUUAUCUAUGCAACAACAAUCAAGCCUACAAUGGCACCAAUUCAAUUCACAGCUCCUUGUGAUGCUAGGAGACAUGCAGAAGUCAUUCUCUUAAUCCAAAACACAAACGACAAAAUGUUCAUUGGCUGUCAUGAGCCAGGUCUGGGCAAGGGAUCUGUCCCCAAAGACUCAGAGAUGUCUGGUGUUUAUUUAUUUUUGCCAACAAGGAUCAUGGGCUCCAUUUUACAGUUCAAUAAGAAAAGGCACAGCUUUUCUUGGAACCACAGGGGAGGUAGAGGCAGGCCAGCCUGAAGAGAAGUAUGAACUGCCAUUUUAGUUGUAAGCGCUUCAAGGAGGCAGCAUGGAGUCAAGGAAACACAACAGCCCAGCCAGAACACCGCCUCUUACCAAUUGCAGCUCCUGAACAAACUUGUUGACCUUGCAGCCAGUUCCCUCACAUUUCACCCAGAGCACCUGGCUGCAAGCACCGUGCCAACUCUGGUUCUAUGCACCCGGACUGGAAUUUUCUAAAGAAGUACUACAGAACUGACUAGAGUUUCCAAGAAGCCAACUUGGAAAUUUGGCUGGAGACCACGGACUGGUGGAUGAAGAAUCACCCUCAGAAAGUGUGGCAACGAGGUUCAGCCUCAGGACACUGCAACUAAGUGCCACCCACCGUCAGACUCAUCAUCACUGCCGCAAAGGAUGCCUAAUCCUCCCUCUCUUUGUGCUUUAUGCUGCAAAGCCUAAGCCCCAGCUAGCUGCACCCAGUUUACCAAUCCUAGGUCCCAUCUGAGACCCUGGCUACCAAGGGAACAAGGAGAAAAGGCCUCACUGCCGUGGUGUGCACAGCAUGUUGCACAAGACUCCUGUCCCUAGACGAUGGCAGUGGCAAGGGACUCACAGGACGCAGGUCAAGUGCUUUCCCUAUCUCCUUGGUGAAGUGGACCGUGCAUCGUGGGAUAAUACAAAGCAUUGAACGAUAUAUUUGUUCAAAAGCUCUUGGCAUAUAAAAGGUAUU